AGUCGAGCGGUAACAGAUCUAGCUUGCUAGAUGCUGACGAGCGGCGGACGGGUGAGUAAUGCAUAGGAAUUUACCCGAUAGUGGGGGAUAACCUGGGGAAACCCAGGCUAAUACCGCAUACGUCCUACGGGAGAAAGGGGGCUUCGGCUCCCGCUAUUGGAUGAGCCUAUGUCGGAUUGGCUGGUUGGUAGGGUAAAGGCCUACCAAGGCGACGAUCCGUAGCUGGUCUGAGAGGAUGAUCAGCCACAUCGGGACUGAGACACGGCCCGAACUCCUACGGGAGGCAGCAGUGGGGAAUAUUGGACAAUGGGGGCAACCCUGAUCCAGCCAUGCCGCGUGUGUGAAGAAGGCCCUCGGGUUGUAAAGCACUUUCAGCGAGGAAGAACGCCUAGUGGUUAAUACCCAUUAGGAAAGACAUCACUCGCAGAAGAAGCACCGGCUAACUCCGUGCCAGCAGCCGCGGUAAUACGGAGGGUGCAAGCGUUAAUCGGAAUUACUGGGCGUAAAGCGCGCGUAGGUGGCGUGAUAAGCCGGUUGUGAAAGCCCCGGGCUCAACCUGGGAACGGCAUCCGGAACUGUCAGGCUAGAGUACAGGAGAGGAAGGUAGAAUUCCCGGUGUAGCGGUGAAAUGCGUAGAGAUCGGGAGGAAUACCAGUGGCGAAGGCGGCCUUCUGGACUGAUACUGACACUGAGGUGCGAAAGCGUGGGUAGCAAACAGGAUUAGAUACCCUGGUAG
rnacentral:rRNA from 1 species